rnacentral:rRNA from 1 species
CCUACGGGUGGCAGCAGUGGGGAAUAUUGGACAAUGGGCGAAAGCCUGAUCCAGCCAUGCCGCGUGUGUGAAGAAGGCCUUCGGGUUGUAAAGCACUUUCAGUGGGGAAGAAAGCCUUGGGGCUAAUACCCUCGAGGAAGGACAUCACCCACAGAAGAAGCACCGGCUAACUCCGUGCCAGCAGCCGCGGUAAUACGGAGGGUGCGAGCGUUAAUCGGAAUUACUGGGCGUAAAGCGCGCGUAGGCGGUCUGAUAAGCCGGUUGUGAAAGCCCCGGGCUCAACCUGGGAACGGCAUCCGGAACUGUCAGGCUAGAGUGCAGGAGAGGAAGGUAGAAUUCCCGGUGGAGCGGUGAAAUGCGUAGAGAUCGGGAGGAAUACCAGUGGCGAAGGCGGCCUUCUGGACUGACACUGACGCUGAGGUGCGAAAGCGUGGGUAGCAAACAGGAUUAGAUACCCUGGUAGUC